rnacentral:rRNA from 1 species
UACGAACUGUGCGAACGUUAUUCGGAAUCACUGGGCUUAAAGGGUGCGUAGGCGGCUAUAAGGGUCAGAUGUGAAAUCCCACAGCUCAACUGUGGAACUGCGUUUGAAACCGUAUAGCUUGAGGAAGUCAGAGGUAAGCGGAACUGAUGGUGGAGCGGUGAAAUGCGUUGAUAUCAUCAGGAACACCGGUGGCGAAGGCGGCUUACUGGGACUUUUCUGACGCUGAGGCACGAAAGCUAGGGGAGCGAACGGGAUUAGAUACCCCUGUA